rnacentral:rRNA from 1 species
AGAGUUUGAUCCUGGCUCAGAGCGAACGCUGGCGGCAGGCUUAACACAUGCAAGUCGAGCGCCGUAGCAAUACGGAGCGGCAGACGGGUGAGUAACGCGUGGGAAUGUGCCCAAAGGUACGGAACAACCAAGGGAAACUUUGGCUAAUACCGUAUGUGCCCGAGAGGGGAAAGAUUUAUCGCCUUUGGAGCAGCCCGCGUCUGAUUAGCUAGUUGGUGGGGUAACGGCCCACCAAGGCGACGAUCAGUAGCUGGUCUGAGAGGAUGAUCAGCCACACUGGGACUGAGACACGGCCCAGACUCCUACGGGAGGCAGCAGUGGGGAAUAUUGGACAAUGGGCGCAAGCCUGAUCCAGCCAUGCCGCGUGAGUGAUGAAGGCCUUAGGGUUGUAAAGCUCUUUCGACGGGGAAGAUAAUGACGGUACCCGUAGAAGAAGCCCCGGCUAACUUCGUGCCAGCAGCCGCGGUAAUAAU